UGAGGAAUAUUGGUCAAUGGGGGCAACCCUGAACCAGCCAAGUCGCGUGAAGGAUGAAGGUCUUAUGGAUUGUAAACUUCUUUUAUACAGGAAUAAAUUGGGGGACGUGUCCCCUUUUGCAUGUACUGUAUGAAUAAGGAUCGGCUAACUCCGUGCCAGCAGCCGCGGUAAUACGGAGGAUCCGAGCGUUAUCCGGAUUUAUUGGGUUUAAAGGGUGCGCAGGCGGGAUGUUAAGUCGGCGGUGAAAUUUUGCAGCUCAACUGUAAAAGUGCCUUCGAUACUGGCCUCCUUGAGUGUGGAUGGAGUAGGCGGAAUUUGUGGUGUAGCGGUGAAAUGCUUAGAUAUCACGAGGAACUCCGAUUGCGCAGGCAGCUUACUAAGCCACAACUGACGCUCAUGCACGAAGGCGUGGGGAUCAAACA
rnacentral:rRNA from 1 species